GGGUCAGUAGGUUGGUCGUGCCACCGGUACGUACUGGUCUCACUGAUUUCUCCUUCCUGAAGAACCGUAAUGCCAUUAAUUUGGUGUUGCGGGGAAACAGGACUGUUACUUUGAAAAAAUUAGAGUGUUUAAAGCAAGCUAACGCUUGAAUACAUUAGCAUGGAAUAAUGAAAUAGGACGAUCGAUCCUAUUUUGUUGGUUUCUAGGAUUGACGUA
rnacentral:rRNA from 1 species